GACGAACGCUGGCGGCGUGCUUAACACAUGCAAGUCGAACGGAAAGGCCCUGCUUUUGUGGGGUGCUCGAGUGGCGAACGGGUGAGUAACACGUGAGUAACCUGCCCUUGACUUUGGGAUAACUUCAGGAAACUGGGGCUAAUACCGGAUAGGAGCUCCUGCUGCAUGGUGGGGGUUGGAAAGUUUCGGCGGUUGGGGAUGGACUCGCGGCUUAUCAGCUUGUUGGUGGGGUAGUGGCUUACCAAGGCUUUGACGGGUAGCCGGCCUGAGAGGGUGACCGGCCACAUUGGGACUGGGAUACGGCCCGGACGCCUACGGGAGGCAGCAGUGGGGAAUAUUGCACAAUGGGCGGAAGCCUGGUGCAGCAACGCCGCGUGCGGGAUGACGGCCUUCGGGUUGGAAACCGCUUUCGCCUGUGACGAAGCGUGAGGGACGGUAAUGGGUAAAGAAGCACCGGCUAACUACGU
rnacentral:rRNA from 1 species